UACGGGGGGGGCAAGCGUUGUUCGGAAUUACUGGGCGUAAAGGGCUCGUAGGCGGCCAACUAAGUCAGACGUGAAAUCCCUCGGCUUAACCGGGGAACUGCGUCUGAUACUGGAUGGCUAGAGGUUGGGAGAGGGAUGCGGAAUUCCGGGUGGAGUGGUGAAAUGCGUAGAGAUCCGGAGGAACACCGAAGGCGAAGGCAGUGUCCUGGCGCGUAACUGACGCUGAGGUGCGAAAGCCAGGGGAGCGAACGGG
rnacentral:rRNA from 1 species